rnacentral:tRNA from 1 species
CAGAGAAUAGUUUAAUUAAAAUCCUGGCUUUGGGAGUCAGGGAUAUGGAUUAAAGUUCCUUUUUUCUGA